rnacentral:tRNA from 1 species
UCCCUGGUGGUCCAUUGGUUAGGACUCUGUGCUUUCACUGUAGAGAACAUGGGUUCAAUCCCUGGUUGGGGAA